AGCUGGCCACCCAAACUGGUAGAGGCAACUGCGCUCAGGUCUCCUUCCGGUGUGUGGGUUGUUUGUUCUUUUGCUCUUCGCAGUAAAUUUUGCUGGUGCUCAGUCCUUGGGUCUGCACUACCUUUAUGAGCUGUAAGACUGACUGUGCAGGUCUGCGGCUUCAUUUCUGAAGUCAGCAAGACCAUGAACCCACCAGAAGGAAGAAACAAACUCUGGACACAUCUGAACAUCUGAAGGAAAAAAUUCCGGACACACCAUCUUUAAGAACUGUGACACUCACCGCAAGGGUCUGUGGCUUCAUUCUUGAAGCAAUGAGACGAAGAACCCACCAGAAGGAACCAAUUCCGGACACAUUUUGGCGACCACAAAGGGAAAAUCGACUAUCACCAAGCGGCUUGGGUAUGUCCUUAUCAGCAGCAUGAAAAUGGACUAAUACAAAUAUGCUGAGUUAAGUCCUGGACAAGAAACACUUUGCCAACCUCUGGACUAGACUGAGUAAAGCAAGCAGAAAGAUCCAAUUUUAAAAAGAGGUGAGGAAAAUGGGACAACUUGGCUAUGGAGAGAGCAAGAAGAAUGCAACUGAUGUGCACAAAGUUUGAAGACAAAGUUACUCAGUUUAGAUCAGGGGUCCACAACCCCCAGCCAUGGACCAGUACUGAUUUGUGGCCUGUUAGGAACUCAGUUGCAGUAGGAGGUGAAUGCCAGUGAUUUGCGUUGAUUGAAAAGAUGAUAGAGUUGCCUGAUGCAUUCUGAGACCCAUGCAGAGAAUAAAGUAAAUGCAGAUUUGGAUGUGAACAUAAAGGAGGAAAAUGAGAUGAGCGAUAAUGCUGAAAUGCUGAUAGUUCCCGGAGCCUUCACUGUCUUCAUGAUUAGAUCCCUCCAUACUCUCCAUCACUAAUGCCUUGGCUGGAGAUUACCAUUCAGAGACCAUGUACUGAGCAGAUAAAUGCCAAUCAUCACAGCAUUGUCUCAGGCCUAAAUGAAUAAAGGCAUGACACUGAGAUUGAAGGCUAGUUCUACUUCAGAACCACAGAGACAUGAGCACCAGCAAGUUUGAGGUUGGAUAAGGAUCUUCAGAACUCCUCAGCUUCAGAUGGUCAAGCACUGCUUCCUCCCUUCUUCAACGGCAUCUCUAGCAUGAAGAGGCACAACAGAGUCCAUGCCUUCACCUCCUCUGGCCAACUCUAAUCAUGAAUCUCCUGUGAAUCAGCUGGGAAACAUGCAGAAUAUGAGAUUGGGGCCCUCAUUCAUACUAACUGGAAUUUUCCUUGGCAAUGGUAGAACAGAAGCUUCUCCAUUCUUUACAGAUGAAUUUGCUUUAAGUAAGAUCUUCCCAGAGUACAAAAGAAAUUUAUUCGGAAAAUUUCAAACUAAUAUCCUUUGCAAGGUGAGCUACACCUCUGAGAGGAGCUCCUGGAAAUUACCAGAUACUUAAUGUUGCCAGCUGUUACAGAUGGAGGUGAUGCACCUUGAUGAUGCAUAAGUACUGAGCCUGAAUCCUACAAAUGGGAAAAGGUGCUCAUAUCAGACUUAUGCAUUAGAUAUCAAACUACAAAAUACAAGUGCAGUUGAUACCUGUUUAGAUGAUGUAGAGCAAGGUAACAGAGUAUGUAUUAAAAGCAAAAAUUCCCAUGAAGCUGAACCGUUACUCUCUGCCAAAACCUCCCACUCUCAAGUUUUAAGAGCCAAUAAACCUUGUAUCUGUACGUUCAGCUUUGCCUUUUUUUUCCCAGGACUGUAAACCUCUG
rnacentral:lncRNA from 1 species